AGAGGAAUAGCCGGGUCAAAUGGUUGCUCCAUUCCCAGAUUUCCAAGGAAUCUCCAUACUGCUUUCCAUAUUGGCUGCACCAAUUUGCAGUCCCACCAGCAAU
rnacentral:pre_miRNA from 1 species